CAAGUCAACGCCUCCGUUCAAUGAAGCGGAUGUAUCGGAAAAACCCAAAAGCUUCAUUUUCCCCUCAAAACGCGUAAACCCCAAAAUGAGCUUCUUCUGCAACUGCAGCAACCUCUCUACUUCCUUCUGCCUCCUCAUCCUCCCGUUCUUCUUCACCUUCAUCCAUGCAACCACUUUCGAAAUCCAAAACAGCUGCCCCUACACCAUCUGGGCAGCCGCCGUACCCGGCGGCGGAAGGCAACUCGACCAAGGCCAGACCUGGAACCUUUCAGUGAGCUCCAACAUAACGGGCCGCAUCUGGGGCAGAACCAAGUGCAGCUUCGAUGAAGCCGGAAGGGGGAGCUGCGAGUCCGGUGGAUGUGGAGGCCUCCUUGAAUGCCAAGAAUAUGGUUCACCGCCCAACACCAUUGCCGAGUACACCCUAAACCAAUCCAACAAAACUGAUUUAUUCGAUGUUUCUCUGGUGGAUGGAUUCAACCUUCCAAUGGAGUUUAGCCCAACUUCUGAUGGGUGCAGAGGGGCCAAUUGUACAGGCGACAUUAACGGGCCGUGCCCAAAUGAGUUGAGGGACCCGGGUGGGUGUAACAACCCAUGUACCGUUUUCAAAAAUUCUCAGUACUGUUGCGAUUCCGGGAGCUGUGGCCCUACAACUUACUCCGAGUUUUUCAAGGAUAGGUGCCCAAAUGCAUACAGUUACCCUGAGGAUGAUUCAACCAGUUUGUUUACGUGCUCCACUGGCUCUAACUAUCGUGUAGUCUUCUGCCCUUGAAUUAUGGGUUGCUAUUAAUUGUUUGAAGUAUUUUCUGAAUUGCCGUGUAAUUUUAUGCUAUGAGGGUAUUUCUUCCUAAGUUUUGUUGGAUGAUCCGUUGAAAUAAAUACUCGAUAACUUCUGUAUUAUUUUAAAAAGUAAUGUAUCAAUAUGCCCAUUUUUAAAAGCUAUAGUGUUAUAAAUUUCAAACUCUUUAAAAUUUUGAGAGAUGAUACUAAGAACUAGCAUACUUUUGUAAAAGAAGUCAUAAAAGGAGAGUCAUCUAAAAAUUUUAAACUUUUAAAAUUUUUCACUAAAACCAAUGUCUCUCUCCGCUUGUUGACUCGUCUGGAAGUCAAGUCCAACGACCCCAUAGCCGUCAACCGAAACCGUUCAUGAAAAAUCUGAUCACCUUCCUCGCCAAAAUGCCAAAAUCCCAAGAUGACUUUCUUCAGCAGCUGCAACAACCUCUCCACUUCCUUCUUCCUCCUCAUCACCACUCUCUUCUUCACCUUCCUCCACGCUUCCGCGCUUCCACCUUCCACAUCCAAAACAACUGCCACUUCACCCUGUGGGCCGCGCACGGCCGUUCCCCGCGGCGGAACGCAACUCUGAUGGGUGGGCCAAAAAAUUCCCAAAUUAUUGGGAGUGGGCCUUUAUAAGUCCCAAAUUGCUAGGGGUGGGCCAAUGGGUAGUGAUGAUGUCAUAGUGCUCUAGCCCAAUUUUUUUUUAAAAUAAACAAAUAAAGGAUUGUAAUCAGUUUAAAAUGUUGAUAUACGGACAAAAAUUGAACAUUCAGACUAAUAAAAGUUAAUAAAUCCCAUACCAAUUGUUACUAAAUUUAAAAUCUAUUUAUCUAAUGAAAAAAUUUAGAGAAGUUAAAAAACUUUAACAAAAAUAGGUAUAAUUCCAAUAGAGAUUAUAUUUGACAAUUUUUCAUACUAGUUCAUGGACAGAUAAUGAAAGAAAAGUUGAAUCAUAUUUUGUUUAAUUUACUCUUCUUUUUUUUUAAUAUUUUUAAAAUUAUAUAUAUUUUUCAUUUCUCCGUAUUUUCCCUUUUUUCUCUAAAAAAAUAUGUGAAUAUAACUUUGUUCAUUUACAAUUAAUAAUGUCUUUUUCCGCUAGUUUUCUCCAAGUGAACGAUAAAUGUACUUGCAACAAAGUGUGUUCAAAUUAUUUUUUCGGGUAUUUUUUUUGAAGCUUAAGUUCAUUUUUAGAAGAAAUAGAUAAUAGUUUUAUUAUAAUAGAGUUGUAAUGUUUUAUGUAUUUUUUUAAUACUUUAAACGUCUGUAAUUGACCUUGAAAAUAACAGUUUUUGAGCUUAUAGUAAGACGUUUAUACUUGUGGAGGCAUCCGAUCUAAUGAUUUGAAAUAUUUAUUAUUUGCGCAGUGAAUAAAGACGUUGAUAGGAUAUCCUUUUAUCAUUUUAAUAUUUCGACGGAGAGAGGCUUUUAUCCAGAUGGAUGUAGGACCCACAGACUUCUCAUUAAUUUUUGAUAAUUAUUUUAUAUUUUAUUUUAUUUUUAAAAAAUUGUUUUCAAAUGACAUCGUCAAAUAGGCUGUUCGUAAUCAUCACUUCCAAUGCAACAUCUUUCGUUGAAUGGAAACUCAGAAAAUCUAAAGUAUCAUCGUAAAAUUCAUGAGGAAUAUGCCAGAAGAUGACCGUUUCAAACCUUUUAUAAUAUUAUUAUAUUUUCUGUAUUUUCUUUCCGCAAAUUUUCCUGAACUAAACACGAGUGAUAAACUACACCUUGAUUUGCGGGGAAAAUCCAUUGGCUAGAGAUUGACUGAAAGCCAAAACUUAGGCUUCGUUGCAAGACAUUUUGGCAGCCAACGACUCAGGCAAACACCGUAAAAGUCUAAAGAGACGCUGUCCGCCCAAACAAUCCACAAAUCUCUUAUCUUUUUAUCAUCUAAUACUCGGAUUCUAGAAAAGUCUACUGUAUCUCUUAGGUUAUAUUUAGUUUCGAAAAAUACAAAAGAAAGAAAAAAAAUAUUAAAAAAAAUAAUUUUUUCAUAUUCGAUUGUCUUAUAAAUUAUUUUAAAAAAAAUUAAAUAUGAUUAAAAUUAAUUAAAAAUUUAUGGAUUUUAAAAUUAUUUAAUCUUUAUAUUGAUGAGUUAAAAUAAAUAAAAAUAAUUUUUCAUCUUUUAACUCUAUUUUUUAUUUUUCUUCAUUUUUUUCUUUUAUUUUUUUUCUUUUUUUUCUUUUUCUUUUUUAUAUAUAUUUUCCCUUAAAUUUUAUGAGAACCACAUAUAAUCUUAAAAUUUUAAUAAUUUUAAUUUAUCAUUCUAAUCAUUCUAGAAAAUUUCAUCAUUAAAAAAUGUAAGAAAAAAAAAUUAGGGUGAAUAAAUUAUUUUUAUAUAUUAUUUUAAACUUAUUUUAUUUAUUUUAAAUUUUAAUAUAAAAAUUGUAUGAGCUUGUAAUUAAAUUUAUUUUAUUAAUUUUUUUUUAUAAUAUAGUCAAACAUAUAUAAAAAAAAAUCAAUUUUAUUAACAAUUUUUUUCUUUUCUUCAUUGAUUUGCUCCUGACGCCAUUUCAUCUAGAAUGGCAUAGAUAAUUUAAAGCAACAGUCAAAGGUCAUCCAAAAAAUUGAACAUGAUAGGUUGUUCAAAUGCAAGUUUACCGGUUCCCCGGAUUCUUCUAAGUUCUGGCAGCUUGACUUCACUUCCGCAUUCUGCAUUGGAGAUGUCACAGAUGUAUGGCCAUGAUUAAUGCCGUUCUCUUCAGUCAUUCCUAUGUGUGUGGACGCGUGAUGAAUUGGAAUCUAAGCAGGAAAGAUGCACGCUCCAUUCAAGUCACGUUUUCUCGUGGGAGGAUUGUCUUGAUUUUAUUAUGCGUGUAUUCUCCUGACUCUACCAUGGCCACUUGGCUUGCCAAGUCUAGAGUAAAGCCAUGAGUGGACAAUUCCAUUUCUUUCUUCAUCUUUUUCCACGGAAUCAAGUCCAACAAAAUGCUGAAAUUUCUAUUCGAAUUAACCCACUUCUCACGUAAUCUCCCAAACCAUUGCCACCAUUCAUCUAUAAAAACCCUACCAUACAUGCAUCUCCAAAACAUCAAUUAACCCAAACCCAUGUUAGUGCUCUGUCUUGGCUUGCCCUGUUUAAGAACAUUCUCUUUUAUAUAUAUUGUUAUACAACUUUCUACGUGAUAUGUUCUCAUUGGUUUAAUGUAUUACUAAAAAAUGUUCUUCAGGAUUUUGGAUGAGGUUGUGUUUGCAUUAACAUGAUCACUUUCAAAUUAUUUUUUGUAGGCAUGGUUCGUGCAGCUAUCAAGUACAAAUAGUUUGUGUAACUGGAUGUUGAUCGUCAUCUUCAUUGUGGUUACUUUUAAUAUCACUUUGUCUAAAUUAUUCUAAGACUAAACAUGAAAGUUCAAUAUCAUUUUGUUUAAAAUAGUAUAAGAAGGAACAUUGAAUAUGCAAAACAUUCAUACGAAGGACAAUCCGAUAGAUGCCUUAAUAAAAUCAAUUAACACUGAUAAAUUCAAUUAGUGCAAAUCCUCUUUUGAUUUCACAAUAACAUAAGCAACAUAUGAUAGGGUAAAACUUAGAAAUAUGAUUUCAAGUGAAAUAAUAUUAACGUUAAAGUCAUCUCACAUAAGAAAAAAAAAGAAAAAAAAAAGAGCUUCUUUAUGCUAUCUGAGGGGCAUCCAUCCUUGAUAUUCUUCAUCCUAAAAAAAACUUUUAUUUUUUUGCAAGUUUUUAUGUUAUCUCCUCUAAAUCGUAAAAAGAGAGGUUACAAUUUUGUAUUUAUAUGAUGAAUAUUUUUUAGUUUUGUUCUUUGGGUUUCCUUCAUAAUUAAAAGGGUUUAAUAUGUAAGUAUUUUUAAUUAUUUUAUUUAUUCUAUUACAUUAUUAUUUUAUUAUUCUAUUUUUAAAUUAUGGGAGCAUCAUUUCAAAACACUACCUUUAAAAAAAUAAAUAAAAAUAUAGUUUUUUAUAUUUGAGAUUUUAAACAAAAUUUUAUUUAUAAAAAUAAUUAAAAUUACGUUUUGCCUAACAUGCGUACGUUGUAGUCAUCCGCGGAGUUGGUUCGAGAGGACAUUGGAAAAUCACACAAAGUGAUCAUGUGCCUUUAAUUGGAAAAUAAACAGUGGAUUUUCUCUUCUCUAGAAUUGGUUGCUUCUCAGAUAAAGGUCAAAAUUCAAUUAUGAUAUUAUGGAAAAUAGUCCCAGUCGAACCAAUUUUCAAGGCAUUUGAAGUGGCCAUUCAUUCAAGAAAGGAAGUUUGAAAUAAAUUUUUCCAACGCAACGCGGCACGCACCCGGCCAUGUUUUCAAGAUGCCUUCCUACCUGUCCUCAGAAUUCAGUAUUCAUGAAUUUCCAUAAAAGUUAGACAGGUUUCUGAAAAUAAUAAAAAUGAUAAUGAUGUGGACCCCUUGAAAUAAAUUCAGUAUUCAUGAAUGGGCAAUUCUGGUUCUUUCAUCAUCUUUUUAUCUGUAAUCAAUCAUCCAAUCAAGUCCAACAAAAUGCUGAAAUUUCCAUUCGAAUUAACCCACUUCUCACGUAAUCUCCCAAACCAUAGCCACCCUUCAUCUAUAAAAACCCCACCAUACAUCCAUCUCCAAGACACCGCAUUAGCCCAAACCCAUAAGAAUUCUAAAUACUUCGAUUCUGAUCAUCUGAUUCAUUCAACAUCAAAAUGCGCUUCACCACCACCCUCCCAAUUCUCUUCCCUCUCCUCCUCAGCCUCCUCUUUACCUCCACCCAUGCAGCCACCUUCGACAUCCUCAACAAAUGCACCUACACCGUCUGGGCAGCCGCCUCCCCCGGUGGUGGACGGAGACUUGACUCCGGCCAGUCCUGGACAAUCACCGUCAACCCCGGCACCACCAAUGCUCGCAUCUGGGGCCGAACCUCAUGCACCUUCGACGCCAAUGGGCGUGGCAAAUGCGAAACUGGUGACUGCAAUGGCCUCCUCGAAUGCCAGGGCUACGGUUCUCCCCCAAACACCCUCGCUGAAUUCGCUCUAAACCAGCCCAAUAACCUCGACUACAUCGACAUCUCCCUUGUCGAUGGCUUCAACAUCCCCAUGGACUUCAGCGGCUGCCGC
rnacentral:lncRNA from 1 species